rnacentral:rRNA from 1 species
GACGAACGCUGGCGGCGUGCUUAACACAUGCAAGUCGAGCGGUAAGGCCCUUUCGGGGGUACACGAGCGGCGAACGGGUGAGUAACACGUGGGUGACCUGCCUUUAGCUCUGGGAUAAGCCCUGGGAAACCGGGUCUAAUACCGGAUAUGACUCCGCGGCGCAUGUUGUGGGGUGGAAAGCCUUGUGCGGCUGGAGAUGGGCCCGCGGCCUAUCAGCUUGUUGGUGGGGUGAUGGCCUACCAAGGCGACGACGGGUAGCCGGCCUGAGAGGGCGACCGGCCACACUGGGACUGAGACACGGCCCAGACUCCUACGGGAGGCAGCAGUGGGGAAUCUUGCGCAAUGGGCGAAAGCCUGACGCAGCGACGCCGCGUGAGGGAUGACGGCCUCGG